rnacentral:tRNA from 2 species
GGGGGUAUGGUGAAGUGGUAUCAUGACGCUCUCCAAAAGCGUUGUCCUAGGUUCAAGUCCUAGUGCCCCCGCCA